GUUCAUCUCCUAGAACCUUUGAUCCAGGAGAUCCUCUCGACUGUGAGUCUCGAGGGUCUUCUGACAGAACGGAGGUAGGGACCCUCCGGGGGUGGAAUCUAAUCAGACAGAGGGCUCUCUGCCCUCUGCUUCUCCUUUUCGAGGAAGAUAAGGCGACUGGCCCAAGUGGGCUGCCCGAUCACCAGAUUCUGAAACUCUGACAAUGCUCUUUCCAGCCGCAUAGAUGCCUGCGGCUGCUGCUGCUGCUACAUGGCCUGCACUGCUUCGGUGAGGUCCCUGACCUGCUGAACCA
rnacentral:lncRNA from 1 species